AACGAACGCUGGCGGCAUGCCUAACACAUGCAAGUCGAACGGGAUCCUGCGGGGACGAGUGGCGCGCGGGUGCGGAACGGGGGGGAAGCUGGCCGUAGGUGCGGAACAACAGUUAGAAAGGACAGCUAGUAGCGGAAGAUGACGUAAAGUCCAAUAAUAUAUCGCCCGAGGAUGAGGCCGCGUAGGAGAAGCUAGAUGGUGUGGGAAAGGGGGACCAAGGCGACGAUCCUUAGCCGGUCAGUGAGGAAGAGCCCCCACACCUGGACUGGGACACGGCCCAGACUCCUCCGGGAGGCAGCAGUGGGGGAUAUUGCAACAUGGGGGGAAGCCUGAACCCCCCACGCCGCGUGAGUGAUUAAGGCUUUAAGGAUGUAAAGCCCUUUUACCCGGGAUGAUAAUGACAGUACCUGGAGAAUAAGCCCCGGCUAACUCCGUG
rnacentral:rRNA from 1 species